AGUGUUGUGGUUCUGACUGUGUGUGUCUCAGGGGUGAUGUGUGCCUCCCCUACGACAGGCUGACGGUGGCGGUGGGAGGACAUGAUGCUAGGCACAACACAUGGACCUGGCUUGAAACACAUUCCUAAACACUAUGGGCCCAUACUUGCAAAGAUAAGCAACCAUUUAAAAUGUGUAAACGGUUUCAAAAUGUGAAUCAGCCAAUUUAAAUCGUUGAUUUGCUUGCAAGUGACAAAAUGCUAAAUUGUAGCUGAUCCCAUCAGAUAACAUGGCACGUGUUAGCCCUAUGCUAACCUCAGGUGGCAGUGAUUAUAUCCUGGAACAAAUUCUUCAUCAACACAUCAAAGAAGUUAGACUUUAUACCCACCAACCAAAGGCAUUUCUUAAAAUGGGUCAACCCUGGCUACUAGAGGGAUAUUUUAAACCUACAAAUUCAAUGUUUAAUCCUUUCCUAACAGUCAGGUCCUUUCCUAAUGGUCUCCUGUCAGGUCCUUUCCUAACGGUCUCCUGUCAGGUCCUUUCCUAACUGUCUCCUGUCAGGUCCUUUCCUAACGGUCUCACUGUGGUCAGUCUGCUCCUUCUGUGUAUUGUAUUGUAUUGUAUUUAAUUGCUGCACUUCUCUCCAAAACCAAAGAGUGAAGAAAUGUCCUCAUAUUUAUAAUCUAGAGCAGGUUCUAUUCUAAGAACCAGUGUUUUCCUUGAGGCAUUCUAUUCUCUAGCUCCUCCGAUAAUCUGUCAGUAACAUUCUCUAGCGAUCUCCCAGAUCCCCAUUCAGUAGUCACUAUUGUAUAGUAAGCACGUCUGUUUCACAGCGACAGAGGGGCGCCACUCUUGGUAAACUGUUUUUAAUGAGCUGUGAGGGAAUGACGGUACUGUUACACUGGUCUUAAAGUGGUAAUUUAACUGAAUAAUAAACCACAGGAAUCCACCAUAUCUACCAAAACAAACGACAAGCAGUUUGUAGUCAAAACACACAGAUUCUUUAUUCUCCAACACAUGAACCAAUUUAACGGUUUGAAGGGUUUCUAAUCGUUACGGAGUAGACUAC
rnacentral:lncRNA from 1 species